CAUGGUUAAGAAAUUUUCACAGCGCCGUGCAGCGGUUGAAAUUUCUCGAAUGUUCGAUGCCCGGGACCCGUCAGCUAUAUAAACCCAGUGGGUUCAACCGGCUGGGCGCAUUCGUUAACAGACCUUCGUUCAGUUAGGAUACUGAAUACUUCAGGAAACCUUCCCAAACCCCCACCCCCCCAUCGAGGGACGAGUCGGAACCUUCACCGGCUAUCAACCCUUUCGCUUUUUAUUUUGUUCGUGGUCGUCCAAGGCCUACGGGACAACACCAAUCGUUAAAAUGUAGACGUGCCGGGCAUCGCUGCGGAGCGCGACAGUAAACCUGAACCCUACGGGGUCGGUGCUUGAACAAUCCGUACGCAACGAAAACUGGUCCGAUUAGGCUAUGAAAUUCUGUCAAAUUUCAUACAAGUUCAUGAAGAAUAAUACCUCUGAAUAAUAGCUGUGUCGUAAAAUUAGAGAUCCGCGUGGGCGGCAAACACACACAACCCAUCAGUAAGAGUAACCUCACAAUAGCCUAGCAGAAAGUGCAGAAAGAAAAGAGAAGCCCACGGGACACG